rnacentral:rRNA from 1 species
GACGAGCCGUGCGAACGUUGUUCGGAAUCACUGGGCUUAAAGGGCGCGUAGGCGGCCUGUUAAGUCGAACGUGAAAUCCCCGGGCUCAACCCGGGAACUGCGUCCGAUACUGGCAGGCUUGAAUCCGGGAGAGGGAUGCGGAAUUCCAGGUGUAGCGGUGAAAUGCGUAGAUAUCUGGAGGAACACCGGUGGCGAAGGCGGCAUCCUGGACCGGCAUUGACGCUGAGGCGCGAAAGCCAGGGGAGCAAACGGG